CGCCCCUCCUCGCCUCCCUCUCCUCCAACGUGGACUGCCUAAGGGCCCGCACGCAACCUCUCGUCCCUCACCUUUUCUUCCUCCUUUCGUUCUCUCCCUCACGUACAGGUGAAUCUCGCGCACAUGGCCACGAGAGAUCCCCUCCUCCUACAAAAUUGCCUCACCCUCACGUCCUAGGGCUUCUCCUUCCUCUCCUCCCUCUCCUCCGCGGCGCUGCCACUCCUCCUCUCCUCCCACGUUCCUUCUUGCUCGAAGCCAAGAUUCAUGGACGGCUCGGACUCGACCUUGCUGUCGUCAUAGCAGGUACCUCCGGCCUCCUUCACGCGUCUACCGGAACCCUGGCGGCACCCAGACCCAUUAUGACGCCAAGACUCACUCAACAUCGCCGCCCUGUCGCCCACUUCUUCCUCUUCGUCAAGGAUCAGCAAGACCGACAAGUUCCUCGACUAGUCGUCGUCACUCUGCUUCGUCCCCGACGUCGCCUUUAUGUCCCAGGUAUACUCUGUAUAACCAUCUCCCUCUCUGCCAGACCCCUCGUCUUCUAGUGCAUUCUAUGCCUCGUGCUCGUUAGUCCAGAACUCGUGUUCCGAAGAGCUCUGGACCUCCACAGCGCGCUACCAUCGCGCUCUAGCCCAGAUCCGCUCCCCUCUAUGUGGUUUCCUUCGGCCAAACCAUGUCCUAGGCCUACCCCAUUUUCAUACCAUGGUAUUGCACAAUAUCUUGUGCCUAGGUGGUCUACGGAGCAGAUCCCGGAGCCCUCACAAGUCUGAACUUUUCUGUCAAAAAAACUGAAUUUUCUCCAAGUCUGAAAAAACUGCAGAUUAGUAUUGUGCACCUGUUUUCCAAAUGGUAGACCUUUUAGCCUGUUGGUCAUAUGGGCGUGUGCCUAUUACCAUGUUGGUGUACUUACUAUGGUCUACCUUCCAGCACCACUUGCAUCCAUGAAAGAGUUCAUUUACUUAUAGUAUUCACUCAUUGAAAAGUGCAUCCUGCUAAAAACUCGUAGUCCUUUUCUCCUAUAUUCCAGAUUUGGCAUAUGCCUAAUCUGGCAUAUCCUACGUUAUAUGUUAGAUAGUGUUUUGUGGGAAUUGAUUGUGGGUGAUUUUUAUACUGCAACAUAUGCUUAUGAUUUAUGAAUUUGGGGUAGAAAACCCCAGGAACCCAAUGGUGGCAUUUUUUUUUACUUUUAAGUAAGUUGAUGAGCAUGCUAUUUUUCACAAUAUUUGUUAUUUUUGUGGGGGGCAAUCCUUGCAACCUUUCACAAACUUGCCAACAUGAAAGUGGUAGUGCUUUGGGUGUACUAGAAAACUGUAUUUUUGCUAGCCAUGAAAACCCUAUGUAUUGGUGGCAUUCUUACUAUCAAGAUGAUAUCCCAAUGUUGCCGAAAUUGGUUAUGUUGAAAUAUGACCAGGUUUGAAAAUUGUUUCGAGUAGUUGUGUUGCCAUGAGGAUUUCCAAGAAUCUACAAGUUUCAUGUGUUGGUACUUUGGUGUGAAUUAAAGAGAUUGUUGCCCUAUGUAAAAUGGUGUCAUUACUUUGAAAAAUAGGGUUUCCAUCUUAGCUAUUCUUCGUGUCAAAUGUGCCAUGUUGAUGUAAACUGCUAUGAAUUCACGUUGUGGAAUUUGACUGAGUCUGAGAAUCAGCUUAUUUCAUCAUGCCAUGUUGAGUGGAUGCUACCAUUGACUAUGUGAAGUAUUAGAUUAUGGUUAGUGGGAGUGAAUUAUAGCAGUUGCAUUCCAUGACAAGUACUACAGAAUAGAGUUUUAUUGCUAUCAACAUGCCAUCAUGAUAAAUUUGCAUGUGUAAAACUGAUAUUUUCAGAAAGUCCUAAUGUGCUAUAUAUUUUGCUAUAUUGUGAGCUUGUUUGCCAUUGAUCCAGGUUGUUAUCAAUGUUGUUGGUUGUUAGAGGUUGUUGUACUCUUUGGUAGCAUCAUCUCCAUGUCUUGGUUGGGAAAGAUAGCUUGUUGUAUCCAUUGGUUUUAUUGUGUGCAAAGUGGUAUGUUGCUGUUUGUGGACCGAAUGUUUGUGAUGUUGUUUUGCACCUUGUGGGUGAUGUGCCAUCUUUUUUUGCAUGAACUUUAGGUCUAUUUCACCUAUAAUUUCGUGCCCAAUCCAGUGGCAUACUUGGGAUGCCAAGCAAUUUCCCAUAGCCUCUCUCAAAUUCUAUUUUGUCAUCGUUGCCUUCCGUUCCUUGUAGUGAGAUUUCUAAGAGAUCCGUAACUCGGUUGGCGACGUUAUUUACAUGCAUUUGUAUGAUCUUCUCAUGAUCCAUUCAUUUUUGCCAUUUUCAUGCAUGUCCAAAUAAUUAAUCUUGAGGUUCUGUCCAGAAUGGUAAUAACUAAAUAAUUGCGUGAGAAAGAUGACUAGUGUAGCAUUGCCAUUCUUCAUUCACCUCAUAUUCAUGCAUCAUAUGUUUGAGCAUCCUGCCAUGGCUAUAUGUUCAUUCGAUGUUGUAUUUUCUUGUGGGUAGCCUCGGGUGUCGAGUAAAAGUACGAGGAUCCCGAUGAGAACGUUCCUUAAAAGCAAGAGUUUUAUCCCUUAGAAGAAGUGUGGGGCAAGAUGAUCGUUGACCUUGAUAUCGUUUCUAAUUUUGGUAUGCUUAGAUGUCUCGUUUCCAUCGUUAAUUAUCGCUGCCUACCACCUGAAUGUAAGGCCUCCAAAACAACCAUGAAAAGCCUCUAACCCUCCACCUCAUAGCAAAACAUUGGUUGGCUAAGUUAGCGUUUGCUUAACCCUUCUUAUAGUGUUGCUAGUUGCAGGUGCAGGUUGAUCCACGUAUUGACAUGGAUAUUUGGAAUAUCAUCUUAUCAUUGCUAUUUAAUUUAAUGCACCUAUAUAGUUGGUAAAAUGCGGAAGGCUUGGCCUUUUGCUCGGUGUUUUGUUCCGCUCUAUCCGCCCUAGUUUCGAUUACCGGUGUUAUGUUCCAUAUUGAGUGCACCUAAGACGCUUGGGGUGUUAUUGGGAUCCCCUUGAUAAAUCACAUUGGCUUAAAAAUUAUCUGGCAAGACCCAACAUUGGUUUUACAUUUUAUUAAGAACUUAAUAACAAGCAUGGGGAAUCGCUACCUCCGUGGAUAAUUAAUCAACCCCGGGGCCAGUGCUCCUCAUGAGUGUUGGUCCAAAUUGUCAACUACCGAUGGCCACCAGGGGCAACUCUGUGAUUGGCCGACCAGAAGUUUGGACAAACCGCUCAUGUCCAGAGAACGAGAUACGGGGCUCUUCUUGGGUUCGUCGACACAUCGGGCAAUCUUGCUGGAUUUGUUUAGCCUUUCUUGAUAUAUCUUGUGCACUGGGAUAUCAAUGAUACCUCGGGCUAUCUCGAUGCUGAUGCUUUUUCUCUAGGGCAGGUUGUGAUAGUUUGUGAUGGACUAGUUGUAGCACUCCUGCAUGGUUAUAUUUUUCGGAAAGUCGUGCCCAAGGUUAUGUGGCAACUUGGAAAUUUGUUUAACAUCCGAUUAUAUAAAACUUGAAGUAAACUUAAUUAAAAUAUGCCAACUGUGUGUGUAACCAUGAUUGUCUCUGCUUAGGAGUUUCUACUUCGAUUGAUGACACGAUGGGGUUAUGUCUAAUGUAAGUAGGUGUUUAGGACCACUUAUUGGUCAUUACUAGGUCACGUCCGUUAUGCGUAGAACACUCAAUUUCAAUUAUGAUCUCGUAAGUUAGCCACCAUAUAAUGCUUAGAGCUAUUGCAACCUCACCACUUAACAUUACCUCACCCAUUAAAUUAACUAGUCCCGAUAUCUUGGCCACAAGAUUGCUGAGUCCGUGUGGCACACAGAUUACUACAACACCACAGGUUCAGGUACCGCGGACCCAUAGGCGUUCAAUGCUUCACAACUCAAUUGGGAGUUCGAUGAGGAGAACAUGCGCAUGUAUCUGACGUACCCCGGCCAGUAGAGGACCUUGAUCGUCUCCUGGGACACCGAGGCAAAAUCAUUGCAUUUUUAUCGUUUGAUUUCAUCUAUAGUCGGACCUUGUCUUGUGGAUGUUUGAAUAAAUGUUGUGUGACAUGUAAUUUAGCAUGUGGCGAGUGUAAGCGAAUACAUAUACUAAUCUCUUAAUAAAUGUAUGUGCAAUGAUUUCUAUACUUGCCAAACGCCGAGAUGAGUCUCUCUCCAUAUUAAGGCCUUGUCCGCAAAUACGGAUAGUGUCGCAUCUUGGAUGUUACAAGUUGGUAAUCAGAGCCAUACGACCAUAGGAGCCUUUGCUUGAUCAAACUUGGCCGAGUCGAGUCAGUGAAAAACUAUUUUGACUCUAUUUAUACCGGAGAGUAGGAUUCUUUUUACUCCUCUUCUCUAGUUUGGUGAGGUUUAUGACUUAGGAACUUUAAUUCUGCACCUCUUCUCGCUCAAAAAAAAUUAGGAUCACGAGGGUAUUUUGGAAUCUAUAUGAUGUCGAUAUGACAAAAUUCUAUAGAUGGUGCCUCCUGUCUGAAUUGAUUUCUUUCGGGGAGUUGAGAUGCAAGGGGUUUUCGACACAUCUUAUCAUUCAACUUCCUUAGUAUAUCACGAUGCGGACAUCGAAACACAUCUAUACUUUGCUUGGUGGCCAAUAGUGCCAUGACUUUUCCCAGUACUGGUGGAGAUAGCUCGGAUUAUCUAUCGGGUUUGGUAUUGUUGUAGUUUUGAAUGUCUGAGGUAGUUGAAUUUGCGGAACUUUUUAGAUAUGUGUUGAUAGCUGCGGGAAAGGUCUUGCAGCUAAUUCCACUGACUAGGUUCCCGAACCUACAACCUGAUAGCAUAACCAAGAAAGAUUUCAGAAAUUGUCAGGUGGGAAUUCAAGUGGUCACCAAGAAAAACUCUUUCAUCGGAUGCAUGUUGGUAUAUACAUUUGUUCCGAUCAAUUCUUAGUUAAAAAACUUGACAAUUGCAAGUGGCUUUUGAAUCUAAUGAUGUCUUCACUUAUCUAUGGUAGCAUUCUUACUCAUUCUAGUUUGAAUGCAAAUUGUUAGGACUUCAUGUUGCAAUAUUUCAAGCCUUUGUAUCAGCUUAUCAGAUUCAUCUUUCAUCGAUGAUCUAAUAUUAUGUCCGUCUCCACGAUGGCUCCAGCAACUUGCUAGAAGUUGAGUCAUGAUGGGGAGUAGUCAUACCCUCCGCCACCACCUCCUUCUCCUCAGGAGGCGUCGCAAGCUUUAAUCGCCGUGACCAGUGCGAACACCCAGAUGCUACUUCAAAUGAUGCAGGAAAUGUAUCAAGGCCAAUAAGGGAAUUUCAUCAAUCCACAAUUAUUUGCUUCUCUCAAUCAAUUCCUUGAAAAUCAUCCCAAGUCCUUCACCUGUUGUGAUCAGCCGUUUGACACAGACAAUUGGCUCUGUGGAAUGAAUAAGAAUUUCGAGUACAACAAUAUCAAGCCUGAGGAAUUUGUCAAGUUUGUAACGUUCCAGCUGAAUGGUCAAGCAGCAUAGUGGUGGCAGCAGCUCAAGGAUUCCAGAGGUGGGAAUUUGAUCAGUUGUGAAGAAUUUUGUCGUGAAUUCGGAGCUCAUCAUAUUCCUUCAAGCUUUCUUAAGGGCAUGCAUGAUAAGUUCAAGAAUGGCAAGCAAUGAAGCUUGUAUGAUUAUCAGUAUAACAUAUACUUUCUUGAUGAGAAGAGCAAUAUCUAUCAAUUUAGAGGUGGCAUCCGGGAAGAUCUUCAGCUUCUUCUUGCACUUCACGAGUCCCCUGAGUUUCUUCAGUUCUAUAAUUAGCUCUCAAGGCGGAGUCAGCUCUACUCAGGGUCGAUAAUUCAAGAAAGCACUUCAGAGACUCUCAUUCGUCUUCAUCCUCGGCUCAGAUUGUUCCAAAGCAGCGGAAGUAUUGUGUUCCUCCUCCGCCGCCGCCGCCUCGUCGUCCUCAGCAGUUCAAGAAGAAUGGUGGUCGUGAUUCUUCCCACCCAUCCAACCCAGGUUUCCAGCACAAGUCUCACCCGCCUAAGUCAGGAGAUCCUCCAGCUCACUUUCGUCCGCUGUGAGAGGUGACUUGUCACAAGCGUGAUCAGAAGGGUCACUACUCCAACAAGUGUACCAACCAGCAGCGUCUUUCGCCUCCACCUCUAGCAAUCCCCCAGGCAAUGCAAUGCUAAAGCAUAAUCCCAAGUAUGUGAGGGUAAAUAAUGUGAAUGCACCUCAAGCAGAGGAUCCCUCAAAAGUGAUCAUGGGUAACCUCUUAGUUAUCUAAUUUCCCGCAAAAGUCUUGUUCGAUACAGGUGCAUCAUAUUCAUUCAUUUCUAGGCCAUUUGUUUGAAAGCAUGAUUUGUGUUGUCAAGAAUUGCCUAGAUCAUUAACUAUGGUUUCGUCGGGCUUGCAAAUGAAUUCCUGCUUCAUGAUUCCAGAUGUCUCUGUCAGGAUGGGCAAUUAUUCUUUUCUGGCUUCUCCAAUUUUUCUUGGAAAUUCAGAUAUUGAUCUAAUUCUUGGCAUGGAUUUUGUAGCGAUGAACAAGGCUUAUGUCGAUUGUGCAGCCAAAGAAGCCAAAUUAACUCAUCCUUCUUAAGACGUGACCAUUUUUGCUACUCGCCAUGACACGAUUUAUCUAUUUUCUCUCAAUGACAAGGGUGAAAUCUCAGACAUUUCUCAAGUACUCGUCGUUUGUGACUAUGAAUAUGUCGUUACAGAAGAAUUGCCAAGAAUGCCUCCUCUCCGACUAGUAGAGUUUGUGAUUGAACUGGAUCUUGGAGCUAAACCGGUUUUUAGCGUCCUUAUAAACUUGGUCCCGAAGACAUGAAAGAGUUGAAGAAGCAACUAGAUGAACAAGAACGUCUGGGUUUGAUCACACAAAUUUCUUCUCCUUGGGGUUUUGGUGUUCUUUUUGUCGAGAAGAAAGAUGGCACAUACCGUCUUUGUGUCGAUUAUCGUCCAUUGAAUAAGAAGACAAUCAGAAACAAGUAUCCACUUCCGAACAUCAAUGAGUUGUUUGAGCAAUUAUAAGGGGCCAAGGUUUUCUCCAAGCUUGAUCUUUGGAUGGGCUAUCAUCAAAUCCACAUUCAUGAAGAAGAUAUUCUAAGAACGCUUUCAAGAAAAGCUUUGGCUCUUAUGGGUACACAAUAUUUUCUUUUGGUCUCGCAAAUGCUCCUCCGACUUUCUCGCAUGAUCAAUUAUGUGUUCUCUCCCUUCAAGAAUGAUUUUUUCUUGGUAUAUGUUGAUGACAUUCUAGUCUUCUCUGAGAAUGAGGAAGAACAUGCAGAAUAUCUCCGGCUUGUGCUUGAUAAGCUAAGAGAGCAUAAGUUCUAUGCUAAGUUCUCAAAAUGUGAAUUUUGGCUCAAUGAAGUGGUGUACAAUUUGCACAUCAUCUCUGCCCAGGACAUCAAGUUGGAUCCUAAAAAGGUUCAAGCCAUUGUGAAGUGGGAGCCUCCUUAGAAUGUCAAGCAGCUUCAAAGCUUUCUCAGGCUUGCAAGUUAUUGUAGAAAGUUAAUUGAGAACUUCUCCUAGAUUUCUAAACAUGUGUACAUCCUUCUUCACAGGGGCGUAAAAUAUGUCUGGACUCCCGAGUAUGAUUUGGCUUUAAGUACACUCAAGGACAAGCUCACAUCAGCUCCGGUUCUAACUCCUCCUGAUGAUUCCAAGACAUUCCAAGUUUUCUGUGAUGCAUCCUUGCAAGGUCUUGGUGAUGUUCCUAUGCAAUACAAGAAAGUGGUAGCUUAUACCUCACGUCAGUCGAAGCCAAGUGAGAUGAACUACCCCACUAAUGAUCUUGAGUUGGCCGCAAUUUUCCAUGCUUUGGUGACUUGGAGACACCUCUUGUUGGGAAGACAGGUUGAAGUCUACACCAAGCUCAAGAGUUAUAAAUAUAUGUUCACUCAACCGAAUCUCAAUCUUCGUUACACACAUUGGGUGGAGAUGAUCCAAGAUUACAAUCCAAUCAUUGAUUAUACUCGAGGCAGAGCAAAUGUGAUUGUCGAUGCUUUGAGCAGAAAGGCUUACUACAAUUAUCUCAUUCUCAAGCCAUUCUAGCCUAAUCUCUAUGAGUCUUUCCGGAAGCUCAACCAUCAAGUAGUUCCUCAAGGAUUUCUUGCCAACUUUAAGAUUUCUCCUACCUUGGAACACCAAGUCCGCCAAGCUCAACUUCUUGAUGCUAUGGUGAAUAAAGUGAAGAUAGGGUUGGCAAAGAGCAUUCCAAAGUAUAAGUGCUACCAUGUUCAUGAAAAAGACACCUUAUUCUUCAAGGACCGCCUGGUGGUUCCAAAAGGAGAUCUUAGAAAAGUUAUCAUGGACGAAGCCCACAAUUCUCUCCUCUCGAUAUAUCCACAUAGUUCUAAGAUAUAUUAGGAGCUUAAGCAAACCUUCUGGUGAAGUCGCAUGAAACGUGAGAUUGCUCAGUUUGUGAACGAGUGUGAUGUGUGUCGCAGAGAGAAGGCGGGACUAUUGGGUUCUACCAUAGGUGCAUCGCAUGCGAAUUAAUAUUUUCCUACACGCAGAACAUCCAAGGACAUGCUACGCAUAUGGAUCACACAUCGUUACCACAAGACACGUAGUGCCGUGUAGCUGAAGUAGAGUUGGGGUAGCAUGUCCGUGUGGUUCGUCUCCUCCUCAUCCGAUCUCCCUCGAACAGCCGGUCGCCGGAUCGUCUCCCUCAAACAGUCAGUUGCUGGAUCCCAUGUACAGGUUCGCUGGAGCGGCACAGGUGCACCACUUCUAACUGUAUCCGUGCGUGCAGGAGGAAUACCGUGCGGCGGACUACUUGGUCCGGAUCACACAGUUGGUGGCGGCGAGUGGAGGUGUCUAGGUGGAACACAUGCACAUCCCUAAUGACGGCAUCUAAUGCCCCAAGUGUGUAACUUUCCAUAUUUGGAACCUNNNNNNNNNNNNNNNNNNNNNNNNNNNNNNNNNNNNNNNNNNNNNNNNNNNNNNNNNNNNNNNNNNNNNNNNNNNNNNNNNNNNNNNNNNNNNNNNNNNNNNNNNNNNNNNNNNNNNNNNNNNNNNNNNNNNNNNNNNNNNNNNNNNNNNNNNNNNNNNNNNNNNNNNNNNNNNNNNNNNNNNNNNNNNNNNNNNNNNNNNNNNNNNNNNNNNNNNNNNNNNNNNNNNNNNNNNNNNNNNNNNNNNNNNNNNNNNNNNNNNNNNNNNNNNNNNNNNNNNNNNNNNNNNNNNNNNNNNNNNNNNNNNNNNNNNNNNNNNNNNNNNNNNNNNNNNNNNNNNNNNNNNNNNNNNNNNNNNNNNNNNNNNNNNNNNNNNNNNNNNNNNNNNNNNNNNNNNNNNNNNNNNNNNNNNNNNNNNNNNNNNNNNNNNNNNNNNNNNNNNNNNNNNNNNNNNNNNNNNNNUGUUGCAUCUUGAGGUGAUGUUGUUCAUUGGAUGUUAUUCUUAUGUUGGUAGCACCGGGAACAGAGAACGAGUAUGUGGAUUCGGGAGAGUACG
rnacentral:lncRNA from 1 species